GGGAAGAAAUUCAUGAUUUUGGUAAAAGCUGUAGGACUGGAUUGGCAUUUCUUGGCUCUGGUUAAAUUCUUCUGCCCUCAGUUUGUGAACAUGGGGAAAGCUUUGUCUUCUGAGCCCAGACUAAAUAUGGAGACAGCCUACACAGCAGCAAAUGAGUGGCUGGGGAUUCCUCCACUGCUGGAUCCAGAUGAUCUUGCAGUGCAUUAACCAGAUGAGCAGUCUGUCAUCACUUAUGUAGCCCGGUUUCUUGAAUGUUGUCCAGGCCAUAAUGAGGAAGGGGGGUCUGGACCUUACUAGUUAACCUAAAGAGGUGAAAGAGCUACACGUGCUUCUGUUCCUCUGGAUGAUCGCCAACUGCAUCCUUAUGUGUCCUCACUUGGAUUUUCUCAGUCUAUUAAACUCUAAAUAGCAAUAUAUUACAAAUUUAAUUACAAUAUUGUAUAAAGUACUAUAUUGUGGGUCCACACACAAAACUCCA